GUGAAGGAAGAUAAGUAUAGAUGUCGUGUACAUUGUAAAAAAAAAUCAAUGGCUGCCCAAUUUCUGGAAGAUCGUAAAUCUACCAUCUCUGAUUUGCACCAGACUGCUGCUCACGGACAGAAGAGAUGGACUUCAACCAUCAAUAGCCCGGUGGAGGAUUGUUAUCCAUGGUGCUGUGGAUGGUUACAGCAGACUUGUUGGGUUUCUGAAGGCCUCUGACAACAACAGGAGUGCCACAGUCAUGGAUGUCAUUCGAAGCAGCCAUCACCAGCUACGGAGUACCAUCCCGGGUGAGAUGUGACCCGGGUGGUGAAAACAACCGUAUCUGUGCCUUCAUGGAGCAAUUCAGGGGUGGUGAGAGGGGAAGUGCCCUCAGAGGAAGGAGCACACAACCAGAGGAUAGAGUGGCUGUAGGGGGACGUCUGGCAUGGAGUCUCCAACGUUUACCAUGACCUGUUCACCUUCUUGGAGACGGAGCAGAUCAUCGACAUCAACAAUGGGGUGGACCUGUGGGCACUGCACUUUGUGUUCCAGCCACGGAUGAACAGAGAUCUUGCUGUGUUUGCCAGUCAGGGGACCCACCAUGGGCUGAGGACUGAACAACGGCAGUCACCUCUGCAGUUGUUCGUCUCGGGCUCCCUGGCAAUGCAGAGGGCCAAUCUGACAGCUGUAAGGGAUUUGUUUGCCCCAAAUUCAACCACCAUCAGCUCUCAAGCCACCACCUCAGCUCCUCCUCCAACAACCAUCACCUCAGCGCCUCCUCCAACCACCACCUCAGCUCCUCCUCCAACAACCAUCACCUCAGCGCCUCCUCCAACCACCACCUCAGCUCCUCCUCCAACAACCACCACCUCAGCUCCUCCUCCAACAACCAUCACCUCAGCGCCUCCUCCAACCACUGGCGCCGCAGCUAUUUAUUGGUCGGAAUGGGUGAUUGUGCCACAAACCCAGUUCACCAUCAGCAACACACAGAUGGAGCUGUUGUGGACAAUAAUUCAAUUGGAAGUCCCCAGAGGCAGCCUGGGAGUUGACAUUCUACAGAGGGUUAUGGCAGUUAUAUCUUCAGCGCCACUCGUUCCUACUUCAACCUGAUUUAUACUCCCCUACUGGGAUGAGGGAUUGGAUGCUAUAUCUUCAGCUCCACUCCUUCCUUUGAAUCAGUUCAUUUUUAUAAUACUAUUAUACAUUUUAUAAUACUAACAUUCCCCCUCUCACACACUGUAUGAUUUGGUCUCUAGAAAGGUGCGACAGACAUUUACAACUCUAAACAGAUGGGGACCAGAGUUUAGACACAGGUGGCCUUAACAAAAGUGACGUACUUCUCCAUUCCGUUAUGAUUUUGUUUGCUCAUAUUUGGAGAGUGUCAGGUACUGUUAAGAUAUAAGGCUGAAGGUUAUUGUAUUUUGCUCUAUGGCGCUUUAGCACAGCAUUCCAUCUGCUGACACAAUGUUUGUCUUCCACUCAGUAUAACACGACCCAGGAGAGGCCUACUGCAAGCACUGGAUUAGAGCCUUCAGAGCGCGCCUGCUGUGGGAGGACAACAGAACAUUCUGAAUGGACAUUAUUAAAACA
ensembl:lncRNA